UACGUAGGGGGCAAGCGUUGUCCGGAAUCAUUGGGCGUAAAGAGCGUGUAGGCGGUCCUGUAAGUCCGCUGUGAAAGUCAAGGGCUCAACCCUUGAAUGCCGGUGGAUACUGCAGGACUAGAGUCCGGAAGAGGCGAGUGGAAUUCCUGGUGUAGCGGUGAAAUGCGCAGAUAUCAGGAGGAACACCAAUGGCGAAGGCAGCUCGCUGGAACGGUACUGACGCUGUGGCGCGAAAGCGUGGGGAGCGAACAGG
rnacentral:rRNA from 1 species